GCUGGAGUGUGAAGGAUGCUUGCGUGUGGUGUGUUCACGGGCCUCGCUUUUCGCUACAGUUGCAUUUCACGGGGAAUUUGGCCGCUGCGUGACAUAAUUGGCUCGUUUCGGCACCUUCUAAUGUGGAAUGGCAAUAGAAAAUAAAAAGGCAAUCUUUCAUGCGGUUGGUGGAUGCAUAAAUUACCCUUUAAGCCAAGCGCUAUUUGAUUGUAAUUCCCCAUUAUUUACUGCAAACAUCAUGUGAAACACCCGAGUGCACCUGCUGUCGGAGAACGCGACUAAUUGCAUUAGUUGUGCAGCAAGGGGUGAGCGCGCGCCGUCGCUCGCCGUAACGCCAUUGGCCGCCUGUAAUUCGAACGAGCGCGCGCUCCUCCGCACCGUCCCUCGCUGCGAAUGUGACCGUGGACACGCCGGUGACCCGCCGUCGCCGUUUCAGUGGCGCUGCGCCGGUAAAGCCGCGUUAUACCGCAGUCGGGACUCGUGUAAUUUUUGUCGUCGUCAGCUCCAUUGGUGCGGAGCGUUUUUAAAGAGGAGGAAGCCGAGCGCAGCCGCUCUUAUGGUUCGAUCAUUAUAUUUCAGCAUCGAAAGCGUCGAAGCCUCGGAAUUCCAGACGUGCGGUAGAGAGUGACAAGACGGCGCGGCGACACGUUCUCGCACCCGGGCCAACGCGGAGGCAGUGACGAUACCCGCUUUGAAACAGGAGAACAGUAGACUAAUGGGCAAUUACGGCGAUCGAGCCUGAAAGGCUGCGCGCGAGGAGCGGGUCCCAGAGGCCGCCGUUACGUGUGCGCGCGCGCGCGCAGCCCGGUCCCCUCGGACCCUGCUUCGUCGCACGUGCGCGAGGAAGGAGCCAGCAAGAAAGGCGGAAAAAAAAAGGGCUCCGAAAGCGCAGUAUAAUUGAACUUUCCACAUUAUUUCUCGCUAAUAUGUGCUGCCACUUGGUCUCAUUAGCGAAAUAAUGUGCUCUCCAGUUCUGGAAUGAACUCUUUGCCCGAGUAAUUAAAGCGCCCAAAGUUUCCAGUCCUUUGUUUAAAGAAUUCGUCCUUGUGCUCUCCAUGCCCCAUCAGCCGCCUAAUUAGCGGAGCCUUUGUGUGAUUAAAAACUCUCCCAGAGAUUCCAUUGGAUAUUUGCCUGUGCUAAUGAGUGUUUGUGGACAGCUGGGGACGCGCAGGCCCUCCCUCUUCCUCUUCCUCGGAGGACCUCUGUCCGCGGCCUGCGCCCGAGAGCUGUCGCUUCCGCGGAGGCUGGGCAAAUUGGUCCCUAUCAUUGCACCCCUCCAACCAACACGCCCGUGCGUGUGCUUCUAGGCAACCGCCCAGCCCCCGCGGGGAGUGGAACUUGCUUGAAAUAUAAAUGAGGAUGAAUAUUCAUAUUGGCUCCAAUAAAAGUGCUGACUUCUCGUGCA
ensembl:lncRNA uncharacterized LOC108934623